CGAGUUUGAUCCUGGCUCCGGAUGAACGCUGGCAAUAUACUUGACACAUGCUAGUCGAAUGUUUAAUAGACAUGGCGCACGGGUGAGUAAUACAUAAGACUUUGCUUUAAAGACUGAGAUAAUUAAUUUUAAGUUAAUACUUAAAUAUUUUUUAAAUAUUUAUUUAGCGAUUUAAAAUUGAAAAUAUUGGAUAUCUAAAGGUUAAAUACCGCUUUAAAAUGGUUUUAUGAAAGAUUAGGUAGUUGGUUGGGUAAUGGCUAACCAAGCCCAAGAUCUUUAGUUGGUCUGAGAGGAUGAUCAGCCACACUGGAACUGAGAUAAGGUCCAGGCUUCUAUAAGCCAGCAGUGUGGAAUCUUGGACAAUGGGCGAAAGCCUGAUCCAGUAAUAUUGCGUGAAUGAGGAAAGCAAAAAAGAUUUGUACUUCGAAUUUAUUUGAUUGCAAAUUGGCUGUAAAGUUAUUUCGCUAAUGAAGAUAAUGACAUUAAUUAGAGAAGAAGCUCCGGCUAAUUUCGUGCCAGCAGCCGCGGUAAUACGAAAGGAGUAAGCGUUAUCCGAAAUGAUUGGGCGUAAAGGGUUUGUAGGCGGUAUCUAUUGAUAAAUGUAAAAUAUUAGGAUAAUCUCUUAAUUCUGCAUUUAUGACUUUGAUACUUGAGUAUAAUUGGGGAUAGUAGAAUUUUAUAGGGAAGAGUAAAAUCUAUAGAUCUAUAAAGGAAUGUCGGCGGCGAAGGCGACUAUCUGGGUUAGAACUGACGUUGAGGAACGAAAGCUUGGGUAGCAAACAGGGUUAGAUAUUCUGGUAGUCCAUGCUGUCAAAGAUGAAUGUUAAUAUUGGGUCAUUCUGGUAUACAGCUAACGCGUUAAACAUUCCGCCUGGGGAGUACGGUCGCAAGAUUGGAACUCAAAGGAAUUGACGGGGGUCUACACAAGUGGUGGAGCAUGUGGUUUAAUGCGAUAAUACGCGCGAAAUCUUACCAGUCCUUGAAUGAAAUAAAAUCAAUAUAGUUAUUAUAUUGUUAAUACGAAAAUUAAGUUAUUUUUAUAUUAUUAUUGCACCUGUCUCUUAUACACAUCUCCGAGCCC
rnacentral:rRNA from 1 species